rnacentral:lncRNA from 10 species
GCGGGAAGUGCGCUAGGCGGAGCUGUGGUCUAGCGAGAGUCCCUGUUUCCCCCUUUUCUUCCUUUUCACAGGAUCUCACCCCAUAAAACCCUGUCUUACCAUUCAAAUUGUCUGUAAGCCUGAAUUUUCGCGGCCCUAAGACAAAGAACCUUGUCUUUCACUGAAUUUAAAAAAAGUCCUGCAACAUUUUUGGUGCACAACGUGGGGGUUCGAGAAGCGAUUUUCUGGUCAGAUUAAGCCAAGUAAAAUGAACUUAACUCAAAGCCUUGAAGACAGAAAAACUUAUAAAAGUACAGCCUGCAGUAUUCUCAUUCAGAAAGAACAACAGGGCAAAAGACCUGAAGAAGGAGCAUACUGCGGUUUUCAGAAUACCAUCGAGGAGGAGA